rnacentral:snRNA from 1 species
CUGCUGCCUUUGGCAGCACACAUACUAAAUUUGGAACGAUACAGAGAAGAUUAGCAUGGCCCCUGUGCAAGGAUGACAUGCAAAUUCAUGAAGUGUUCCAUAUUUUU